rnacentral:lncRNA from 1 species
AUAAAAGACUUCUUCGGGAGGCCCGGCAGACUCGGGCAAAGUCCAUUCUGAUGAGCUCUGUGCAAAUAAGCCAGAAGCAGGUGGAGGAAAGCCCCCUGCCGUCUUGACACCGGGCAUGACCAUUCAGGAGAAGCAGGCCGCACGUGGGGUGACAAGGCUGCAGUCAGAGAGCCCUGAAUAGAAAGCGGCCAGAAUGUAUGCAUCUGGACCAGCAGCCACCUGCCAGAAGGCCCAGCCCGGCAUCUGGACAGCCUGAGAGACGGCCUAGGCCUCCCAGGAGCCCACACAGUGGAGCAAAGCUGGAGAGACAAGUGAAAGCACGGCCCCAUGGCACGCUUGCAGGGCCCAGGAAUCCAUCUGCCCGUCCGGAGCUCAGCAUCCCCGCCAGCGCCCUGCCCGGGAAACGCACCCAGGGGACAGCACCCGUGGGCUCAGGAGCAGGAGGCCUCUGCUACCUGGCUGUGACAGAGGACACCGAGCAGUGCCAGGAGGGAGCCCCACGGCCUCGCCAACAGAACGCUUGUCAUCAAUCAUGCCCCUCUGUAAGCAUUCAACGCCACCCUGGAAGCCACUGGACAAGCCACCAUUCCCACUUCCAGGGAGGAAACUGAGGCACAAGGAGGCAGUCACCGGCCCCGACCCACACAGGCUGGUGGGCUUACAUGGGUCAGUGCUGUGCUACAUCCCACGACUGCCCGCCCCCCACCCAGGGGCCACCUCCGUGGAGCGGCCAGAGGGUUCGGGUUCCAGUUCCUAAUAGACUUGGGCCACUUUUGUUCCCGCAGAUGUCCUGCCCUCAAGUAUCAACGUUGAAGUCCAUGUGAGUGGGUCCCUGAACAGGGCAGGGCAGCCCCCCGCCCCCAGGACAGGCCAGAGGCCAGGCCGGGCCCUCCAGGAGGUGUGGCCCUGGGAGGCUGUGUCCCCGGACAUGGGCUGGGCCGGUGAGCACAGAGCAGACCCCUCGCCUCCGUCCCAGGGUUUUCCAUGCCCGUGGAUGAGGCCCAGCUGCCGCUGGGGAGCAGGGGGCCCAGCCCAGCCCCGGCCCCAGACCUGCGGGCAAAGGGAGGGAUUUGGGAGCGUCCCCAGAGCAGCCCACACCUGCCUUGCACAGGCAGCGGCUGUUUCUUUUCCAAACGUGAAGCCACAGGGCAUUUUUUAACAGAGAAAAUGCGCUCGUGGUGGCGAGAGAAAAGGCUCUGUAAUGGGUAGAGGCCAGCAGGCAAAAUGGAAUUUUUUGAACCGUUAAGCCUGGAGGGGGGAGGGGGGCGGUGAAGAAACGUCCCAGGAGGCCCCAGAGGAGGAGGCCUGUCUGGCGUCUGGGCCCUGCGUCCCUGGUGUCACAGUAUGGUCUGAAGGAAGCUCAGGGCAUGCCACGCCAGGCUGGCUGGCUCUUUGCACAAGCAAGCCUGAAAGACUCAAGGCUGUCUGCACCCGGCAGGGGGGCGUCAGGCCCAGCGAAAGGAGGAGGAGGCGGUGGGCGCGGCGUGGAGGGAAGCCCUCUGGGCAGGCCACGCCCUGCUUCCCCAGGCUCCACUUACAGAGCAGGCCAGGGCUGAGGGACCCAGACGCCCAGAGGGGGCCGGAGCCGUCUGAGGCCUCGCAGUGGACGAGGCGCCAGGCUGGGGCCAGAAGCCAGGCGGCCCCCUGCUGCAGAGAGCCGACAUCUUGGGGGCCGGUCCAGUGGUCCUUGCAGUAGCCCCCAGGUGGGCCAGAGCCAUGAUGACAGCCAUGAUCUGCUCGCACGCCCAGGGCCCCUCGUCCCCGUGAAGGGCCUCUGCACACCCAGGUUCCGUGGAUUCAGGGGCCUCACGUACCGCCCGCCUCAAAAGUGUCCCAUCUCCGUCCUCCCUCCGCAAGACUGGACUUCCACCACGGCCUCGCUCCGGGGGCUGAGGCAGGGCCCCAGGCUGCUCCCCACUGAAAUGCAGAUGCUCCCAAUGUGAGCCCUCAGCUCGCACCUCCUGCAGCUGCGUUAAGCAAGAGCCCGGGAGGAAUGAGGGCUGCAUCUUCCUCAGACCCCCUGCCCCUCUGGGCCUGGAUUUAAGGACCCUUCAUAAAUCGCGUCCUCAAACCUUCUCUCCUGAACAGGAAGAGCCACUCUUCUUCGGUCAUAUUUCCCUUUUUGCCCUGGCCACUAAGAAGCUCUGCACUGCACUCGGGGCCAACCAUAUGGCCAUUCUGCCUGCCUCCCCACUUGAGCCUGCCGCCAGGGUUGGCUUGUCUUUCCAUUUCCCAUCUGUCUUCCUUGAUAUGUGGGAGUCCUGGCGAAGCCCCUCACACCUUGGCGUCCACCUUCAUCUGCCCUAGCCCGCACCGGCCUGCUCUGAGCCUGAGCCCAGCUGGCCCUUUAAGAAGCUGGGGGCUGCUGCUGGCACAGUGCACAGUUGGCCCAGCGCGCAGACGGGCACGUUCCUGAUCUUUCUGGAAGGCUGAGUUGGAGAGGAGACAAAAUGUUCUUGCACAGCUUGAACCUAAUUUUUUUUUCAUUCGCGCCCCAUUGACUAAGCACUGUAAAGCGCAAGGCGGUGGGCGCCGCCUCAUUCCCCUGGACCCCACUGCGAGGCAGACGUUGUCAUCCCGUCUACAGGUGAGAAGACGGGGCCCGAGGCAAGGAAGGGACACAGCCGGGACCACAACCCAGAGCCACAGGUUUUCUCCUCUAGUGUCCACACUCCUCCAUCCAAGCUUCGGCCUGCCCACCCCGCUCUGUCCAGCAGGGCAGCCCCUCGGCCCUGGAACCUCCUCUGCCCAGCGCAUCCCAGGGCCGCUCAGCCCCACCGGGCAGCAGACCGGGCACCGGCAAACAGCGCCCCCGCCAGACUGUGGGUCAUAUAGACCUGCCGUGGCCUGCGCCUCCCCGGGUCUCUGACCCCUUUUGGAAGUUAUGUCCCCACAGGGACUCAGGAGAGCCGUCUGUCCAGCCAUGGCUCCCUUUCCCACAGGCCUCUACGAGACUCGACCCCAGAGGAGGGCAUCUCCACUCCGGAGGGAUCCCCCAUUCCUCAUUCAUUCCCCUGGUGAGUUGCCCACCAUCUGAGGGCUCGGCCUCCCACCCCAUGGCGGGCCUGGCGCCCGGUGGUCAGCUGCACGGCUCACCAGCCAGGUGCCCUGGACACCCUUGGAGCCUUGGUUCUUGGCUAUAAAAUGGGAGAGGUGAUUUUACCCCCUGGAGAGCUGGCUAGAACGACACGUGUGUGACAGACACUGGGCACGUGGGCGUGCCAGCAUCCUCCCGAUCAAGGGGUCCCUCUUCCCUGGGACCCGGCCUGCCUUCCCCACCUGCUCACCCCUGCUGGGGCUGAGGCAUUGCCAUGGGCUCCCUCCCGAGUUCUUGGCAGGCACCUCGAUGACAUGCUGGUUUCUGGGCUGAACCUUCCAGCUCAAUCCAGCUCAUGAUCAUGGAACCCCAGGCAGGAAGCAGAACCUUCUGGAAGGCGCAGAGGUGACCCGCCCUGGCUGUGAACCUUGCUGUCCGGCUACGGCCGUGCUCAAGGAUGUGUCCAGGACCACUGACUGGCCGGUCCACAGCAGGACCUGUGUCAUCUGCCCAAAGCAACACGGCUAGUUAAAAGUUUUAUUGAUUGAACACAGUUGAGCAGGUGAGAGAUUCGGCUCUCCUCGCGGUAUCUUCUUUUCCAAACACAUGAUUUUCCUUGAAGUCAAAAAGAGCUUCCAUAAACAGCCGACCCACAGUUCACAGAGCACCCCAGCAGGCACGGUCCCCAGAGGGACUGCCGACACCCGGAGUCCAUCCAGGCCACGGCCACGGCCUGGGAUCAGCCCAAAACUGGUGGAGCCCAUUAAGGGUCACGACCUGGUAAUUUAUAAAGCACCCACUGUGUCCAUGGUCCACGGGGCCACAAAGGCCACCAGUUCGCUUCCUGGGAGGAGCUUACCUUUGGAAGCUAAAACUGUGACAGCUCUGCACCCAAGCAGGGGGCUCCGGGAAGAGGGGCCUUUCCAAAGGCUUCUGGGAGGAGGCGGAGAUGGCCCGGGGCUCCACAGACGGGGGAGAUUCAGAAGCUGGGUCCAAGUGACAGGAGAGCCCAGUGUCCUCGCUACACCACGUAGCAUGUCACCUGACCUCCGGGAGCCUCAGUUUCCUUUCAAAUGGGACUCACGUCAGUACCUCCCUCAGAGUCAGGGUCAGUGGGCUCUCCUCGCUGACCCACCCCCCGGGCCAGCCUCCUGGGCUCCUGCCCACCAGGGAAAAGGAAGAAACGAGGCCACGGGAACUUUGUCUCCUGCCACGUGGAAGCAGCCAGCCGUGGUGAGGCCACACACUGUCACACAGACUUCAGAUGCCAGAGAACCAAGAGGGCGUCCAGCAGGGUGAGGCCCUGUGGCCUGCUGCCUGGUGGGGUUCUGGGACUCCGGGAAACUGUGCUGCCACCGGCGCCCCAGGUUGGCCUCAGACCGGGCUGGCGGAGCCGCCCAGUGUUUGAAACCUCGCUUGACUGGCAAUAGCCGGCCUGCCAAGGAAUCUGCAGAUCUCCACAUUCAUGAAUGCCCUGUGGGGUGUGACCCCGUGAGACGCAGGCAGGGGUCACAGAGAAGCGCCUGCGAGCCCCCCUCCUGAUAAGCCACACGAGUGAAGGGGAGUGGUCCUCAGAGCACUGGGCUCUUCUUGGCUGGGCCGGCUGCUUCUUCCAAGGAGCAGCUUGCCUGGGGUCCAGAUGCCCAAGCCCCUGAUGAGGAUCCAGCCACGGAAUGACAGGGCUGGACAGUGGGCCCGGGCCCAUCGCUGGAGCCACACACUGGCCCCGGCGCCCAGUUCCCCACCAUAGCUGGAGCAAAAGGCAAAAGCCACCUCCCCAAUCUGUGUUGAGACUUCACGGACGGCAGAACAGUGCCGGGCUCUGCUCCCGCCCGCCAGCCUGUGCCACCUCCUCCGUCAGAGCGGGCUCCUCCAGCAUCCAUCCCUUUUCAGGCCACCUCCUAGAGACCAGCUGGCCACCCGUCUACAGCAGCCCACCUCGGCCCCUCGGGCAUCCCCUUGCGGCCUCCUCUCAAAGCGCUAAGCUGUCUCUAAGUUGGCCUGCUCUGUGAUCUGAUCCGUGUUCAUCUUCUGCCUCCGUGGGGCCUGACACGCUCCUGCUGCAUCUCCCGAGCCGAGAGCCCUGGAGGGAGGUCACUAUCUGCUGAAUGACGACUGAAUGUUGAAAAGGAAAAUGCUCUGUGACCAACACACCUGAGUUGAAUCCCAGCCCUGCUGCUGCCUUGUGACCGCGGGCCAGUUACUUAAUCUUUCUAGUCCAUAAAACAGAGAGAGUGAUGCCGAGGUCCCCAGGCCAGCGCCCUCUCCCCUCCUCUCUGCCUGCCCACAAUCCUCAGAAUGACAGGAUUGAUUCAAAGGCCUUGGUGCCACCGCCACCCCAAAGGCAAAAGCUGCAGUCGCUCUGCUCCCUCGGUGCCCGGGCGCUCUCAGGAGAGGCUCCGAUGUGUUGACACGAGGGCAUUGUGGGCACCAAAAUAAUCCGAUUGCACUUGGAGAGAGGGAGAGCGAGGGGGAGGGAUCAUCGAGCAUCAGACAGGCAGCUAUUCUCCAGGAGGCCAUUUCAUCGUUCUUUCUCAUAUUCCCGGUUUCUAAGAGAUCCCCUAAAUAAAGCAGUUGUAUUAUUUUGUGACUCAUAAAAUACACGUUAUAGUGAUAACAUAGCUAUAAUCAUAACUACACUGAUUGAACACAUACUACACACCGUAAAGCUCUCAAGGUGGGUCUUACUCUCCCACUUUGCAGCUGGUAAAACCGUGGCUCACAGCCAUGCUGCCCUGGCCACACCUCCCGGCCACGGGCCACGCUGGGUCCCACCCUCCCCGCUCCACGGCCUUUAAGGCCUUUCGGAUCCCAGGCAUUCGCGCUCAGCCCUCUUUCUUCGGGUCCGGGGUCACGCUGCUUUCCAUUUCCAAGCCUGGUUACUACAGAUGCAAAAUGAAAAAUGAGCCCAUAACCCAGUAAAUCUGAGCCACUCGGCGCGAAAUGCAAUAACGGCCGUGAGGGCCGGGCUGCGUUCCCAGCCAGACAGAUUAAGCAGCGCCACCGGGGAGCUGCCCGCUCCGGCUCUCGGCGACAUCGAAAGGGCACAGAAAGGUCUCACCCUGAAGGACAGAGAGGGUCGCACCCGGGCGAGGGCCGGGCGGGCGGGCAGCUCUGCUCCUCUGGCCCUUGGCCUCCAGGCUUCCCAGGGCUGCCCUGGGGCCCAUGGAGCACACACACGCCUGGAAAGUUCUGGCCCCAGGUGAGGACUCCGAGGACGAUGGAGCCACCCCCGUGUGUGAAAUGGGCACAAUCCCUCAGAUCUCGAAUGAUGACUUUCUGAGAGAAAACAACAAAGGUGACGAGACGUUUUGAAAGGAAUAUAUACUCAGUCAUGCACUGUAGCCAAGGGGACACGUUCUGAGAACUGCAUCGCCGGGCGAUUUCAUUGUUGUGGGAACACUAUACAGUGAGCACACACAAACCUCCUACGCACCUGGGCUUCAUGGGGCUAAUCCCACAGGACCACUGUCGUCCACGUGGUCCGGGGUUGAUGGCAUCAUCGUGAUGCAUUACAUGACUGUGAGAUGCAAGAGCAGGUCACUUUGCCUUACGGCCCUGCUGGCCCCUCCCGGGAAAGGGAUGCACAGAGGUGGCAAUGCCUGAGAUAGAAGGAUUUGCCACCACAACGCAGAGGUCCGCCUGCUGGACAAGGUUCUCCAUCCUGGCUAAAUGUGGCAGUCCCUGGGGAGGUUUGAAAACACUCACGCCCAGGUCUGACCCCAGAGACUGAGAUUUACUGGCCCGGCAUGGCCAGCCCAGAAUGCCGGCCUGGACCGCCUGCCUUGGGGAGAGCCCAUAGCCACCUGCCCAGCCACACCGGAGCCUGAGGUGCCCGGAAAGGAUAGUGAUACUGACCCUCUGUAUUCAAGAAUUGGGUAUUUUGUUCGUUGGGGAUUUUUGGCAUAAAUUUUGAUUUUUAAAAA